rnacentral:rRNA from 1 species
UACAUGGGGUGCAAACGUUGCUCGGAAUUACUGGGCGUAAAGCGCGCGCAGGCGGCUAUCCAAGUCAGUGGUGAAAGCCCGGAGCUCAACUCCGGAACUGCCAUUGAAACUGUUUAGCUUGAGGAUGAGAGAGGUGAGUGGAAUUCCCAGUGUAGAGGUGAAAUUCGUAGAUAUUGGGAAGAACACCGGUGGCGAAGGCGGCUCACUGGCUCAUUACUGACGCUCAGGCGCGAUAGCGUGGGGAUCAAACAGG